rnacentral:rRNA from 1 species
AUUGAACGCUGGCGGCAGGCCUAACACAUGCAAGUCGAGCGGAGCGGCGGACGGGUGAGUAAUGCCUAGGAAUCUGCCUGGUAGUGGGGGAUAACGUCCGGAAACGGGCGCUAAUACCGCAUACUAUCAGAUGAGCCUAGGUCGGAUUAGCUAGUUGGUGGGGUAAGGGCCUACCAAGGCGACGAUCGGUAACUGGUCUGAGAGGUUGAUCAGUCACACUGGAAAUGGGCAACGGUCCAGAGUCCUACGGGAGGCAGCAGUGGGGAAUGUUGGACAAUGGGCAAAAGCCUAAUGCAGCCAGGCGGGGUGUGUGAAGAAGGUCUUCGGAUUGUAAGGCACUUUAAGUUGGGAGGCGUUACCGGCAGAAUAAGCACCGGCUAACUACGUGCCAGCAGCCGCGGUAAUAC